rnacentral:rRNA from 1 species
CAGGCCUAACACAUGCAAGUCGAACGAGGGCUUCGGCCCUAGUGGCGCACGGGUGAGUAACGCGUGGGAACCUGCCCUGUGGUACGGAAUAACUCCGGGAAACUGGAGCUAAUACCGUAUGUGUCCUGCGGGACAAAGAUUUAUCGCCAUGGGAUGGGCCCGCGUAGGAUUAGCUUGUUGGUGGGGUAACGGCCUACCAAGGCAACGAUCCUUAGCUGGUCUGAGAGGAUGAUCAGCCACACUGGGACUGAGACACGGCCCAGACUCCUACGGGAGGCAGCAGUGGGGAAUAUUGGACAAUGGGCGCAAGCCUGAUCCAGCAAUGCCGCGUGAGUGAUGAAGGCCUUCGGGUUGUAAAGCUCUUUCGCACGCGACGACGAUGACGGUAGCGUGAGAAGAAGCCCCGGCUAACUUCGUGCCAGCAGCCGCGGUAAU